UAGGGAAUCUUCGGCAAUGGGGGGAACCCUGACCGAGCAACGCCGCGUGAGUGAAGAAGGGUUUCGGAUCGUAAAGCUCUGUUGUUAAGGAAGAACGAGUGUGAGAAUGGAAAGUUCAUACUGUGACGGUACUUAACCAGAAAGGGACGGCUAACUACGUGCCAGCAGCCGCGGUAAUACGUAGGUCCCGAGCGUUGUCCGGAUUUAUUGGGCGUAAAGCGAGCGCAGGCGGUUAGAUAAGUCUGAAGUUAAAGGCAGUGGCUCAACCAUUGUAGGCUUUGGAAACUGUUUAACUUGAGUGCAGAAGGGGAGAGUGGAAUUCCAUGUGUAGCGGUGAAAUGCGCAGAGAUAUGGAGGAACACCAGUGGCGAAGGCGACUUUCUGGUCUGUAACUGACGCUGAUGUGCGAAAGCGUGGGGAUCAAACAGG
rnacentral:rRNA from 1 species